rnacentral:rRNA from 1 species
AGAGUUUGAUCAUGGCUCAGAACGUACGCUGGCGGCACGCCUAACACAUGCAAGUCGAACGAAGUAGCAAUACUUAGUGGCAGACGGGUGAGUAACAUGUAGGUAUCUGCCCUUUGGCCUGGAAUAACACGAGGAAACUUGUGCUAAUACCGGAUAAGUCUUUACGGAGAAAGCUUUAUGCACCAUUGGAUGAGCCUGCACUUGAUUAGUUUGUUGGUGGGGUAAUGGCCUACCAAGACUGUGAUCAAUAGCUGAUUUGAGAGGAUGAUCAGCCACAUUGGGACUGAGACACGGCCCAAACUCCUACGGGAGGCAGCAGUGGGGAAUCUUGCACAAUGGAGGAAACUCUGAUGCAGCGAUGCCGCGUGAGUGAAGAAGGCCUUUGGGUUGUAAAGCUCUUUCGUCGGGGAAGAAAAUGACUGUACCCGAAUAAGAAGGUCCGGCUAACUUCGUGCCAGCAGCCGCGGUAAUACGAAGGGACCUAGCGUAGUUCGGAAUUACUGGGCUUAAAGAGUUCGUAGGUGGUUGAAAAAGUUGGUGGUGAAAUCCCAGAGCUUAACUCUGGAACUGCCAUCAAAACUUUUCAGCUAGAGUAUGAUAGAGGAAAGCAGAAUUUCUAGUGUAGAGGUGAAAUUCGUAGAUAUUAGAAAGAAUACCAAUUGCGAAGGCAGCUUUCUGGAUCAUUACUGACACUGAGGAACGAAAGCAUGGGUAGCGAAGAGGAUUAGAUACCCUCGUAGUCCAUGCCGUAAACGAUGUGUGUUAGACGUUGGAAAUUUAUUUUCAGUGUCGCAGCGAAAGCGAUAAACACACCGCCUGGGGAGUACGACCGCAAGGUUAAAACUCAAAUGAAUUGACGGGGACCCGCACAAGUAGUGGAGCAUGUGGUUUAAUUCGAAGAUACGCGCAGAACCUUACCAACACUUGACAUGUUCGUCGCGACUCUAAGAGAUUAGAGUUUUCGGUUCGGCCGGACGAAACACAGGUGCUGCAUGGCUGUCGUCAGCUCGUGUCGUGAGAUGUUGGGUUAAGUC